AUUGAACGCUGGCGGCAGGCCUAACACAUGCAAGUCGAACGGUAACAGGAAGAAGCUUGCUUCUUUGCUGACGAGUGGCGGACGGGUGAGUCAUGUCUGGGAAACUGCCUGAUGGAGGGGGAUAACUACUGGAAACGGUAGCUACUACCGCAUAACGUCGCAAGACCAAAAAGGGGGACCUUCGGGCCUCUUGCCAUCGGAUGUGCCCAGAUGGGAUUAGCUAGUAGGUGGGGUAACGGCUCACCUAGGCGACGAUCCCUAGCUGGUCUGAGAGGAUGACCAGCCACACUGGAACUGAGACACGGUCCAGACUCCUACGGGAGGCAGCAGUGGGGAAUAUUGCACAAUGGGCGCAAGCCUGAUGCAGCCAUGCCGCGUGUAUGAAGAGGGCCUUCGGGUUGUAAAGUACUUUCAGCGGGGAGGAAGGGAGUAAAGUUAAUACCUUUGCUCAUUGACGUUACCCGCAGAAGAAGCACCGGCUAACUCCGUG
rnacentral:rRNA from 1 species